rnacentral:misc_RNA from 1 species
UGGGCAGCGAUCGUAGAGACU